rnacentral:rRNA from 1 species
AUUGAACGCUGGCGGCAUGCCUUACACAUGCAAGUCGAACGGCAGCACGGGAGCAAUCCUGGUGGCGAGUGGCGAACGGGUGAGUAAUAUAUCGGAACGUGCCCAGUCGUGGGGAUAACGUAGCGAAAGCUACGCUAAUACCGCAUACGAUCUAUGGAUGAAAGCGGGGGAUCGCAAGACCUCGCGCGAUUGGAGCGGCCGAUAUCAGAUUAGGUAGUUGGUGAGGUAAAGGCUCACCAAGCCGACGAUCUGUAGCUGGUCUGAGAGGACGACCAGCCACACUGGGACUGAGACACGGCCCAGACUCCUACGGGAGGCAGCAGUGGGAAUUUUGGACAAUGGGCGCAAGAACCUGAUCCAGCAAUGCGCGUGCAGGAUGAAGG